ensembl:lncRNA
CAUCCUCACAGCUCAUGGAAGUUCCUGCCAGGGAUUGAACUUGUGCCACAACAGCGACCCAAGCCACUGCAGUAAUGCCAGAUCCUUAACCUGCUGAGCCACAAGGGAAUUCCUAUGCUUCUGUCUUAAGAUAGAAAAAGAAGAGUGAAUUAAACCAUAGUAGGCAGAUGAAAUAAUAAAAAUAGGAGUAGAAAUGAAUGAAAUAGAACUAAAACUAGGGAAAAUAAGCAAAGUCAAAAGUUGGAUCUUUAAAAAAGAUUUAUAAAAUUGAUAAACCUCUGGCAAGAAUAAGCAAGGAAAAACUGUCAACACAAAUUAUCUAUACCAGAAACAAAAAAGCACAGAGUUCCCAUCAUGGCUCAAUGGUUAACAAACCUGACUAGCUUUCAUGAGGAUGCAGGUUCGAUCCCUGGCCUUGCUCAUGGGUUAAGGAUCUGGCAUUGCCGUGUGCUGUGGUGUAGCUCGCAGACAUGGGUCGGAUCUGGUGUUGCUGUGGCUGUGACAUAGGCUGGCGGCUACAGCUCCAAUUAGACCCCUAGCCUAGGAACCUCCAUACGCCCAGGGGGUGCAGCUCUAAAAGAUGAACAGACCAAAAAAAAAAAAAAAUCCCAUGUGCUGAUCUUGUUUCUCCCACUGCCCAGCACAGCACGGGAGGACCUGCUGGAUCUCCAGCCCCUCAGGGCAGGUUCCUGCCAGUCACUUUCUCAGCAAGCAAAGGGAGCAAUGUGGCUCUCAGGACAAAAGGAGAACUGUGUGUGGCCCUGUUCAUUAACAUGUUUCUCAACCCGAAAGUCCCAUCGUGCUGAUGGAGAACCGAUGGUGUACACAAUCUGACUGGAUGCAAAGUCUGUGUACGUGUAGGUGCUCCGUGGACUCCGCAGCCCUGAGAAGGUACUGAUGGGAGGACCCCCGGAACUCCCCAGGGGGUUCCUGGCCGUGGGGAUGCGGAAUUCUCAGUACUGUGGUGACUAGAGAUCAUUCUUCAAGUGAAUUACGCUUACCUUGCAGAACAGGGCGGUGCAGGGAGGGUCCUGGGGUGACCACCCUCCAAGGCACGUUUGCUCUGUCUUUGGGAGACGCACACCGGGGCGGGGUGGAGUGCGCGUGUGCCAGAAGAAACUUUCCGUAAAAUUCAGAUUUUAUUUCCUUCUAGGAGCUUCUGCAUUCAGAUUAUGGCUGAACAAGGCUGCUACGGGGGCGCGGGCUGAGGCGCAGAGGACGAGGCCCAGCGCUACCUCCAGCACCGCGGUGACCCUGAGAACACAGGACAAAGCCGGGCCACCUGAGCGCCCCGCCACCAGGGAGCUGCGUUUGCAGGAGCGCUGUGAGAAGCGCGUCCAAACCCCCCGAUCUUAAUGAACUUAAACUAGAACGUCAAUUAAAUCGUUCUGGUGACUACGCACACGAACCCCUGUUGGACGAGGCCUGACACUCCAGUGGCGAUCAGCGAGCUGAAAUGGGAAACCUCCUGGGACUCGCGGUUCCUCCCGCGCGUCCGGGGCGCCCUGAGCCGGUGGCGGGGCGAGGGGCACAGAGAGAAAGGGCGGCCAAACCCCGCCGCCCUGACUGC